GAUGAAGAACGCAGCGAAAUGCGAUACGUAAUGUGAAUUGCAGAAUUCAGUGAAUCAUCGAAUCUUUGAACGCACAUUGCGCCUACCAGCACUCUGGCAGGCAUGCCUGUUCGAGCGUCAUUUCAACCAUCAAGCCCUAGGCUUGCGUUGGAGCCCUGCGGCUGCCGCAGGCCCCUAAAAGCAGUGGCGGGCUCGCUAUCACACCGAGUGCAGUAGAUUACUCUUCGCUCAGGGCGUGUGGCGGGUUCCAGCCGUGAAACCCCCUACUUCUCAAGGUUGACCUCGGAUCAGGUAGGAAUACCCGCUGAACUUAAGCAUAUCAAUAAGCGGAGGA
rnacentral:misc_RNA from 1 species